rnacentral:rRNA from 1 species
AGUGAACGCUGGCGGUAGGCCUAACACAUGCCAGUCGAACGGCAGCACAGUAAGAGCUUGCUCUUACGGGUGGCGAGUGGCGGACGGGUGAGGAAUACAUCGGAAUCUACUUUUUCGUGGGGGAUAACGUAGGGAAACUUACGCUAAUACCGCAUACGACCUACGGGUGAAAGCAGGGGAUCUUCGGACCUUGCGCGAUUGAAUGAGCCGAUGUCGGAUUAGCUAGUUGGCGAGGUAAAGGCCCACCAAGGCGACGAUCCGUAGCUGGUCUGAGAGGAUGAUCAGCCACACUGGAACUGAGACACGGUCCAGACUCCUACGGGAGGCAGCAGUGGGGAAUAUUGGACAAUGGGCGCAAGCCUGAUCCAGCCAUGCCGCGUGGGUGAAGAAGGCCUUCGGGUUGUAAAGCCCUUUUGUUGGGAAAGAAAAGCAGCAGGUUAAUACCCCGCUGUUCUGACGGUACCCAAAGAAUAAGCACCGGCUAACUUCGUG